rnacentral:tRNA from 1 species
ACUAUUUUGGCAGAUAAGUGCCUUAGAUUUAGAAUCUAAUUAUGUAAGAUUAAUUACAGAUAGUA